UUUCCUUAGUCGCCAGGAGAUUGGAAACAAUAUUCUUUUGAUGAUUAGUGCACUCCCAGUAAUGCAGCGUGCCUGCCCGAAAGUGAGACUCUUGCGGUGGAGAAGGAAGAGAAACUUUGCUACCUGUGAACUGAAGACUUCGUAGGUAGCAGUGGAAAUGAAAGCAAUUCUGUUUAUGAUAUUGUUCAUUCUCUCCAUAAAUGAGUAACUUGAUGACUUCAGUGGUAUAAAUGCUCAUAAACAAGAAGAAGAAAGGGUCAUCUGCAUUGUGUUCUUCUGGAGACAGGAGUCAGGGCCAGAAAUCCUACUGAAAGACCUACCCACAACGCAGGAAGAAUCUCGCCUGACUGCUUCUCUUCUCAAGACUUCAUCCUGCAUUGAGGCUGAGAUAAAAAUCAUGAUGGGUAGAAGGCAGUUUAGAGCCAGUCCCAGAGCAUCCUCAGAAGGGGUCCUGUGAGGCAUGGCUGGACCACAGGCAACACCGCAACAAACGUUUCCACCGGUUGCCUAAUUCACUUGCCGUGUGCUGUCUUGUAAGUUAAGAGCAAAUCUACCACAGUAGGUGGGAGUGAGGGGAAAAAAGGGGGAGAUCAGGGUUGAAACCUCUGCAUUGGGAGAAUUGCUGUGUUUUUCUGGGUCUGGGCACCAAGAUUUUGUUUGGCUCGAAACAGAGGUAGGGGCCAGCAGCCAAUUUUAUAUUCAAAUCCAAACUUCAUCUUCCAGAAAUUGAAUCUAAUCAUAAAGGUCAUUGAGCUAAAGACAUGUUCCUGACUAAUUGUCUAACAUCUGCUAUGUUGCUCCAUCAUAUUCUUCUUUCUUGUGCAGCCGUAAUCACAUUGAAGUUCAUAACCUCUACCCAGACAUUUUAAAGAACAAUAUUCUGGUGUAGGCAUUGAAUUGCAAAGCAGAUUUAAAUGGAAGGAGAACUAAAAGCAAAGAGAGAGCUCAUAAUGCCCCCGCCCAGCUUAAGGAAGUAGCAUUCCCUUAUUUGUGUCCAUCCUUUUCGGGGUGAGUGAUGGGAUGAACCUGCCUCUCUCCUUUCUUCCCUCUUGGGCUCAAUUUACUUGAGUUUACUUUUUUUUAGUGGAGUGGGAGAGCAUUUCUGGGAGAU
rnacentral:lncRNA from 1 species